rnacentral:miRNA from 1 species
UCUAAAUCCUAAACUUUGUCUGGUGAUGAAAAUUGAUGACAGUCAGGUUCCCACCACCAAACAAAGUUUGGGAUUUAGAU